rnacentral:rRNA from 1 species
UACGUAGGUGGCAAGCGUUGUCCGGAUUUACUGGGCGUAAAGGGCGUGCAGGCGGUCUGUUAAGUUCAGGGUGAAAGCUCCCGGCUCAACUGGGAGAGGUCCUUGGAUACUGGCAGACUUGAGGGAGGUAGAGGAGAGUGGAAUUCCCGGUGUAGUGGUGGAAUGCGUAGAUAUCGGGAGGAACACCAGUGGCGAAGGCGGUUGCCUGGAGCUUUGCUGACGCUGAGGCGCGAAAGCGUGGGGAGCGAUCCGG